GAUAGGAAACCAAUAUGAAAUCGGCGGAAGGUAGUUCAUGUAAUAGUAUUGACAUGAAGCUGUACCUAAGUGAUGUCCCUCAAUAUCAAUAUCCAGGUAUACUCAAGGUAAUUUCAGGCACCUCUUCUAAUUUCUCUUCCUUCUACAAAUCAAGUUACAGAUUCUAAUCAAUUUUUGUGUCUAGUGAUUUUAGAUGCAGGCCAUUGUACUCUUACAGAAUCUACAAGCAUCAUUACUCAAAGAAUAAACCACUUCAAAUAGAAGCCAGAUGUCAACCACGAAAGAUCCCCCACUACCCACACCCACCUACACUUACAUUAUGGUAUCUGCUUUAAGCAAACAUGCACAUUGUAUCUAGAAAUUACGAAUCACACAUUGGGCUAGAGAAUAGAACCCACAACUUGUAACAAUGUUUCAAGAAACUAAAUGCUUAAAUCUGAAAUAAAUUAUGACAACGAAAAUAGCUAGACUCAUAGACAUGAGCUACAUAGGCAAGCACUUUGGAUAUAUAACAUAAUAAUAGCAUUUACACAGUUUGACCAACAUACAAGGCUCCAUUCAUAAGCAGUUGUUUAACAUUUCGGACAGCAUCCCCAUCUAAUUAACACUCUUAACCAUUUCACCAUUUAACAGAUUCCAAAUUAUUAGUACCCAAUAAAGCAUUCAUCCAUACGUAUAUAAGGGUGAUUAGCUUUUGAUACACACCCAAAAAACUUCUCUGGACACCCAAAAAUUCCCAGAAUUGCCUUUGUAGCCAAGUGUCCAGAGACAUAGCUUGAAAAUAAGAUCAAUUUAAAAGGCAGGAUGGGAAUUAACUUCUGAUGAACCAAAAUGCUAGAGGUAUGCUUCAGCCAAAUCAACCUUCUUCCUUCUCUUUUUCUGGGGAAAAAAAUAAUGAAACCAAAUCAAUUGCAUAAUGGGUAUAUAAUUAUUCAAAUUAAUCGUUUAAAAGCUUCUUGUGCAAUAGCUCCAACACCAGCAACCAAAAAGGGGGAAAAAUUAUGAAGUAGAGCCUGGCUUACCUCAUGAACCAAUGGCCAACGAGCGAAAUAUAUGGAGGGGCUGAGACCCAUUACGCAAUUCAUUUGAUAAUUAUAUACCCAAGAUGAAGCGCCUGAGUUUCUCAUAUGAUGCUAAAAAACCAGCAAUCAAAAGGCAGAAGAAAAAAAAAAAAAAAAAAGAGCAGAGCGUGCUUACUUGAUGAACCAGCACCCAACGAGGGAAGUAGGAAAACAAACCAUAUGCAAGGCCUGAGUUUCGUAGAGCAGAAAAUAUGAAGUGGCUGAGUUUUGUAGUGCAGAGAAGAUUUAGGGGUUGAAGUGUAGCGUAGAAGAUGAAGCGGCCUGUAAAGUGAUUUUGUCAAACGUGAAUUCUAAUAUAAUAUAUUUUAAUUUUUUUAAUUAAAGAAAAAAAAUGUUGAAAGAGAGUUAACAGAGUUAAACUCCUGUUCAGUUAU
rnacentral:lncRNA from 1 species